CCUACGGGAGGCAGCAGUGAGGAAUAUUGGUCAAUGGGCGAGAGCCUGAACCAGCCAAGCCGCGUGAAGGAAGAAGGAUCUCGGGUUGUUAAACUCCUUUUAUAUGGGAGAAAAGUGAGGAACGUGUUCCAUUUGGUAUGUACCAUAUGAAUAAGCAUCCGCUAACUCCGUGCCAGCAGCAGCGGUAAUACGGAGGAUGCGAGCGUUAUCCGGAUUUAUUGGGUUUAAAGGGUGCGUAGGUGGUUAAAUAAGUCAGCGGUGAAAGUUUGUGGCUCAACCAUAAAAUUGCCGUUGAAACUGGUUGACUUGAGUAUAUUUGAGGUAGGCGGAAUGCGUGGUGUAGCGGUGAAAUGCAUAGAUAUCACGAAGAACUCCGAUGGCGAAGGCAGCUUACUAAACUAUAACUGACACUGAAGCACGAAAGCGUGGGGAUCAAACAGGAUUAGAUACCCCAGUAGUC
rnacentral:rRNA from 1 species